rnacentral:rRNA from 1 species
CCUACGGGUGGCUGCAGUGGGGAAUAUUGCGCAAUGGGGGAAACCCUGACGCAGCGACGCCGCGUGGGUGAUGAAGGCCUUCGGGUCGUAAAGCCCUGUCGGAGGGGAAGAAGGACUCUCGUGCAAAUAGUUCGAGGGUUUGACGGUACCCUUAGAGGAAGCACCGGCUAACUCCGUGCCAGCAGCCGCGGUAAUACGGAGGGUGCAAGCGUUGCUCGGAAUUACUGGGCGUAAAGGGCGUGUAGGCGGUUUCGUAUGUCUGGCGUGAAAGCCCC